rnacentral:misc_RNA from 1 species
CAACCCUCGAGCCUAAGUUUUUCUAAACUAAAGGAUCGGUGUUGGGGCGCUACAGCGGUCUUCGGAUAGCUGUAGGCUCUGAAAUACAGUGGCGGUCCCGUCGCGGCGUCUUCUGCGUAGUAAGCUUAUAAAACUCGCAUUAGGUCCCGGCGAAGGCCAGCCGUCAAACCCUCUAAUUCUUUAUG